rnacentral:rRNA from 1 species
AGUGAACGCUGGCGGUAGGCCUAACACAUGCAAGUCGAACGGCAGCACAGUAAGAGCUUGCUCUUACGGGUGGCGAGUGGCGGACGGGUGAGGAAUACAUCGGAAUCUACUUUUUCGUGGGGGAUAACGUAGGGAAACUUACGCUAAUACCGCAUACGACCUACGGGUGAAAGCAGGGGAUCUUCGGACCUUGCGCGAUUGAAUGAGCCGAUGUCGGAUUAGCUAGUUGGCGGGGUAAAGGCCCACCAAGGCGACGAUCCGUAGCUGGUCUGAGAGGAUGAUCAGCGACACUGGAACUGAGACACGGUCCAGACGCCUACGGGAGGCAGCAGUGGGGAAUAUUGGACAAUGGGCGCAAGCCUGAUCCAGCCAUACCGCGUGGGUGAAGAAGGCCUUCGGGUUGUAAAGCCCUUUUGUUGGGAAAGAAAAGCAGCAGGUUAAUACCCCGCUGUUCUGACGGUACCCAAAGAAUAAACACCGGCUAACUUCGUG